UUCCCAUGAACUUCGGGUA
rnacentral:piRNA from 1 species